rnacentral:lncRNA from 1 species
GGAUCGGUUGACUCAAACUAGUGAGUUGAAGAGCUAGAUGAGGUGAUCAAGAGACUUAGAUAGCUAAUCGAAUAUCUCGAAGUAGUUGAUGGUGGCAGAUCUUGGCUCCGAUGCUUGGAUUGGUCCUAAAAUAUUACAAGCAGAGAAAAUCUACUUAUCAGAAGUUUUCUGAUGGGGACCCUUCGAUGUCUAAGCUAGAUCACUUCAAAACAAUAAAGGAGGUUCUGAGUGGAAAGCAGAGAGGG